rnacentral:rRNA from 1 species
UACGUAGGUGGCAAGCGUUGUCCGGAUUUACUGGGCGUAAAGGGCGCGUAGGUGGAUAUUUAAGUGGGAUGUGAAAUACCCGGGCUUAACCUGGGUGCUGCAUUCCAAACUGGAUAUCUAGAGUGCAGGAGAGGAAAGGAGAAUUCCUGGUGUAGCGGUGAAAUGCGUAGAGAUUAGGAAGAAUACCAGUGGCGAAGGCGCCUUUCUGGACGGUAACUGACACUGAGGCUCGAAAGCGUGGGGAGCAAACAGG